UACGUAGGGUGCAAGCGUUGUCCGGAAUUAUUGGGCGUAAAGGGCUCGUAGGCGGUCCAUCGCGUCGGGUGUGAAAAGCUGGGGCUCAACCCCAGUCCUGCUUUCGAUACGGGUGGACUAGAGGUAUGCAGGGGAGAACGGAAUUCCUGGUGUAGCGGUGAAAUGCGCAGAUAUCAGGAGGAACACCGGUGGCGAAGGCGGUUCUCUGGGCAUUACCUGACGCUGAGGAGCGAAAGCGUGGGGAGCAAACAGG
rnacentral:rRNA from 1 species